UACGUAGGUGGCAAGCGUUAUCCGGAAUUAUUGGGCGUAAAGGGCGUGUAGGCGGUGCUUUAAGUCUGACGUGAAAGCCAACGGCUCAACCGUUGAAAUGCGUUGGAAACUGGAGCACUUGAGUGUCGGAGAGGAAAGUGGAAUUCCUAGUGUAGCGGUGAAAUGCGUAGAUAUUAGGAGGAACACCAGUGGCGAAGGCGACUUUCUGGACGACAACUGACGCUGAGGCGCGAAAGCGUGGGGAGCAAACAGG
rnacentral:rRNA from 1 species